rnacentral:rRNA from 1 species
GGGUGAGUAAUACAUGGGAACAUACCUUAAAGUGGGGGAUAACUUCUGGAAACGGAUGCUAAUACCGCAUAUACCCUGAGGGGGAAAGAUUUAUCGCUUUAAGAUUGGCCCAUGGCAGAUUAGGUAGUUGGUGGGGUAAAGGCCUACCAAGCCGACGAUCUGUAGCUGGUCUGAGAGGACGAUCAGCCACAUUGGGACUGAGACACGGCCCAGACUCCUACGGGAGGCAGCAGUGAGGAAUAUUGGGCAAUGGGGGCAACCCUGACCCAGCCAUGCCGCGUGAGUGAAGAAGGUUUUCGAAUUGUAAAGCUCUUUCGGAUGUGACGAUGAUGACGGUAGCAUCUAAAGAAGCCCCGGCAAACUUCGUGCCAGCAGCCGCGGUAAUACGAAGGGGGCGAGCGUUGUUCGGAAUUACUGGGCGUAAAGGGUGUGUAGGUGGACGUGUAAGAUAGCGGUGAAAUGCCGGAGCUCAACUUCGGAAUUGCCAUUAUAACUAUGCGUCUAGAAUUAUAGAGAGGAUAGCGGAAUACCCAGUGUAGAGGUGAAAUUCGUAGAUAUUGGGUAGAACACCAGUGGCGAAGGCGGCCAUCUGGCUAUAUAUUGACACUGAGGCACGAAAGCAUGGGGAUCAAACAGGAUUAGAUACCCUGGUAGUCCAUGCCGUAAACGAUGAAUGCUGGUUGUCGGACGAAUGUUCGGUGACGAAGUUAACGCGAUAAGCAUUCCGCCUGGGGAGUACGGCCGCAAGG